GUCCUUUUGAAUUUAAUUUAAGGUCUGACCUGCCCACUGAAUUUUUGAAGGGCCGCAGUAUUUUGACUGUGCAAAGGUAGCAUAAUCAUUAGUUUUUUAAUUAAAAGCUUGUAUGAAGGGUUGGACGAGGUAAAUUCUGUCUCUAUUUAAUUUAAUUUAGAAUUUAAUUUUUAAGUCAAAAAGCUUAAAUAUUAUUAAAAGACGAGAAGACCCUAUAGAUCUUUAUAUUAAAUUAAUUAAUUUUAUUUAAGAAUUAUUUAUUUUUUAAUAAGUUUAAUAUUUUAUUGGGGUAAUAAAAAGAUUAAUUUAAUUCUUUUUUUAUUUUUACAUUAAUAUAUGAUUAUAUGAUCCAAUUUUAUUGAUUAAAAGAUUAAGUUACCUUAGGGAUAACAGCGUAAUUUUUUUAAAGAGUUCAUAUCGAUAAAAAAGUUUGCGACCUCGAUGUUGGAUUAAAAAUUAUCUUAGGUGCAGAAGUUUAAGAUUUUGGUCUGUUCGACCAUUAAAUUUUUACA
rnacentral:rRNA from 2 species